UUCCAGCAAAUGCCGCGUGUGUGAAGAAGGCCUUCGGGUUGUAAAGCCCUUUUGUUGGGAAAGAAAAGCAGUCGGUUAAUACCCGAUUGUUCUGACGGUACCCAAAGAAUAAGCACCGGCUAACUUCGUGCCAGCAGCCGCGGUAAUACGAAGGGUGCAAGCGUUACUCGGAAUUACUGGGCGUAAAGCGUGCGUAGGUGGUGGUUUAAGUCUGUUGUGAAAGCCCUGGGCUCAACCUGGGAAUUGCAGUGGAUACUGGAUCACUAGAGUGUGGUAGAGGGUAGCGGAAUUCCCGGUGUAGCAGUGAAAUGCGUAGAGAUCGGGAGGAACAUCCGUGGCGAAGGCGGCUACCUGGACCAACACUGACACUGAGGCACGAAAGCGUGGGGAGCAAACAGGAUUAGAUACCCUGGUAGUCCACGCCCUAAACGAUGCGAACUGGAUGUUGGGUGCAAUUUGGCACGCAGUAUCGAAGCUAACGCGUUAAGUUCGCCGCCUGGGGAGUACGGUCGCAAG
rnacentral:rRNA from 1 species